rnacentral:rRNA from 1 species
AUGACGAACGCUGGCGGCGUGCUUAACACAUGCAAGUCGAGCGGAAAGGCCCUUCGGGGUACUCGAGCGGCGAACGGGUGAGUAACACGUGAGUAACCUGCCCCUAGCUCUGGGAUAGCUCCGGGAAACCGGGAUUAAUACCAGAUACGACCACUUUAGACAUCUGUCGUGGUGGAAAGGAUUCCGGCUAGGGAUGGGCUCGCGGCCUAUCAGCUUGUUGGUGGGGUAACGGCCUACCAAGGCGACGACGGGUAGCCGGCCUGAGAGGGCGACCGGCCACACUGGGACUGAGACACGGCCCAGACUCCUACGGGAGGCAGCAGUGGGAAUAUUGCGCAAUGGGCGAAAAGCCUGACGCAGCGACGCCGCGUGGGGGAUGGAAGGCCUUCGGGUUGUAAACCCCUUCAGCAGGGACGAAGCGAAAGUGACGGUACCUGCAGAAGAAGCGCCGGCUAACUACGCGCCAGCAGCCGC